AGAUGGAUUCUGAGGAAAUUCACUGUAAAACAUCAGGAGCCAAAGGGCUCUGGAAAAGCAAAUGAUUAUCAUUAGAAAGUAAUAUGCAACUACUGAAGAAACAUUUGAAAGAGUAAUGUGGUCUAGCAAAACAAUCCUGCAAUCUGCAUUCAAUCAAAACUGACCAAAAAUGCUUGCAGUGGUCCUUUGUAUUGUUGGAAGCCAAAUGCUCUCUGGAACUCAUGAACAAAGCUUUACAAAGUGGCUUAUUACCAACAGAAUAUUACUGAAGCAAUAACCAGCCUUAGAGUUGACUUUUCCAAUAAGGGGGAGAGUCUCCGACUGCAAUGGCCAAGGUAUUGAGAGUGACAAGAAUAUUUAUGUACCUAUCAAAUGCUCACAGAUGAGCUUUGUGGGUCGAUUUGUUUUAGUCUACAGCACUUGUAACUAGACAUCUUGCCCACAAAAUAGCUUUUGUAAGAAGAUAAUUAAAAUUCUGUAUACAGAGUUUUGAAAAUCAUUAUGAGGCAGAGCUAUACUUAGAAGACUGGAUGAGAAGAAAGCAUACCUCGAACUUUUGGAAACUGCUUAAUUAAUUUUGAUUCUAGGCCAAUUUAAUAAGUCUCAAAUACAGUGGUACUGAAAAUCCAUUAACCUCAUUCUGUUAGAAAACAAGGCACAUAUUCUUUAUAGAUUGUGAUUUUCACUGCUCACCUGUGGUUCAGUGCCUCAGCCAGGGUUUUGGACUCCAAUCUUCAAAUGAAAAGUUCUAAGGCUAUGAUUAAGUUUCAGACAAAUCAUCUGCCUUCUCUCCUUCUGGUUGACACCUGGCCUCCGUGAGCAGGACUGCCUCCUUGGGAUGCCGACUGGCAGUCAUGAGACAGAAGCCCCGUAGUUUUUCAUGAAAGAACCACUUAUCCUAGGGCCAUAGAUCACCUAGUACCAAAGUGCGUGGUUUAGGAGAUGUCAAGCACGUUCAGGGAUUUUAGACCUCAUUCAUUACCUACCAGAAACAGAAAUAUGUUCAUAGGUAGUUUUUUCAACAAGUAUUUGUUCUAAAGUUAGAACAAAAUUGAAACCUAAUGUACUUUACUGUCAAAACCAGGCAGGCAAGUGGAAAGGCCAGUAAAACAA
rnacentral:lncRNA from 1 species